rnacentral:rRNA from 1 species
UGGGGGAUUUUGCACAAUGGGCGCAAGCCUGAUGCAGCGACGCCGCGUGAGGGAUGAAGGCCUUCGGGUUGUAAACCUCUUUCGCUGGGUUGAAAGGCCAUGCUUUGGGUGUGGUUGAUUUGAACUGGUAAAGAAGUACCGGCUAACUACGUGCCAGCAGCCGCGGUAAUACGUAGGGUACUAGCGUUGUCCGGAUUUAUUGGGCGUAAAGGGCUUGCAGGUGGUUUGUCGCGUCUGUCGUGAAAUCCUGUGGCUUAACCAUGGGCUUGCGGUGGGUACGGGCAGGCUUGAGUGCGGUAGGGGGGACUGGAAUUCCUGGUGUAGCGGUGGAAUGCGCAGAUAUCAGGAGGAACACCGGUGGCGAAGGCGGGUCUCUGGGCCGUUACUGACACUGAGGAGCGAAAGCGUGGGGAGCGAACAGG